UACGUAGGGUCCAAGCGUUAUCCGGAAUCACUGGGCGUAAAGCGUGCGUAGGUGGAUGUUUAAGUGAGAUGUUAAAUCGUGUGGCUCAACCAUAUCGAUGCAUCUCAUACUGGACGUCUAGAGGACAGCAGAGGCAAGUGGAAUUGGUAGUGUAGCAGUGAAAUGCGUAGAUAUUACCAGGAACACCAAUGGCGAAGGCAGCUUGCUGGGCUACUCCUGACACUGAGGUACGAAAGCGUGGGGAG
rnacentral:rRNA from 1 species